GUGUGACUGCGUACCUUUUGUAUAAUGGGUCAGCGACUUAUAUUCUGUAGCAAGGUUAACCGAAUAGGGGAGCCGAAGGGAAACCGAGUCUUAACUGGGCGUUAAGUUGCAGGGUAUAGACCCGAAACCCGGUGAUCUAGCCAUGGGCAGGUUGAAGGUUGGGUAACACUAACUGGAGGACCGAACCGACUAAUGUUGAAAAAUUAGCGGAUGACUUGUGGCUGGGGGUGAAAGGCCAAUCAAACCGGGAGAUAGCUGGUUCUCCCCGAAAGCUAUUUAGGUAGCGCCUCGUGAAUUCAUCUCCGGGGGUAGAGCACUGUUUCGGCAAGGGGGUCAUCCCGACUUACCAACCCGAUGCAAACUGCGAAUACCGGAGAAUGUUAUCACGGGAGACACACGGCGGGUGCUAACGUCCGUCGUGAAGAGGGAAACAACCCAGACCGCCAGCUAAGGUCCCAAAGUCAUGGUUAAGUGGGAAACGAUGUGGGAAGGCCCAGACAGCCAGGAUGUUGGCUUAGAAGCAGCCAUCAUUUAAAGAAAGCGUAAUAGCUCACUGGUCGAGUCGGCCUGCGCGGAAGAUGUAACGGGGCUAAACCAUGCACCGAAGCUGCGGCAGCGACACUAUGUGUUGUUGGGUAGGGGAGCGUUCUGUAAGCCUGUGAAGGUGUACUGUGAGGUAUGCUGGAGGUAUCAGAAGUGCGAAUGCUGACAUAAGUAACGAUAAAGCGGGUGAAAAGCCCGCUCGCCGGAAGACCAAGGGUUCCUGUCCAACGUUAAUCGGGGCAGGGUGAGUCGACCCCUAAGGCGAGGCCGAAAGGCGUAGUCGAUGGGAAACAGGUUAAUAUUCCUGUACUUGGUGUUACUGCGAAGGGGGGACGGAGAAGGCUAUGUUGGCCGGGCGACGGUUGUCCCGGUUUAAGCGUGUAGGCUGGUUUUCCAGGCAAAUCCGGAAAAUCAAGGCUGAGGCGUGAUGACGAGGCACUACGGUGCUGAAGCAACAAAUGCCCUGCUUCCAGGAAAAGCCUCUAAGCAUCAGGUAACAUCAAAUCGUACCCCAAACCGACACAGGUGGUCAGGUAGAGAAUACCAAGGCGCUUGAGAGAACUCGGGUGAAGGAACUAGGCAAAAUGGUGCCGUAACUUCGGGAGAAGGCACGCUGAUAUGUAGGUGAAGUCCCUCGCGGAUGGAGCUGAAAUCAGUCGAAGAUACCAGCUGGCUGCAACUGUUUAUUAAAAACACAGCACUGUGCAAACACGAAAGUGGACGUAUACGGUGUGACGCCUGCCCGGUGCCGGAAGGUUAAUUGAUGGGGUUAGCGCAAGCGAAGCUCUUGAUCGAAGCCCCGGUAAACGGCGGCCGUAACUAUAACGGUCCUAAGGUAGCGAAAUUCCUUGUCGGGU
rnacentral:rRNA from 1 species